rnacentral:tRNA from 1 species
GGGGUUGUAGCUCAGUGGUAGAACUCUUGCCUUGCAUGCAUGAGGCACUGGGUUCGAUCCUCAGCACCA